rnacentral:rRNA from 1 species
CUGGUAGUCCACGCCGUAAACGAUGUCGACUUGGAGGUUGUUCCCUUGAGGAGUGGCUUCCGGAGCUAACGCGUUAAGUCGACCGCCUGGGGAGUACGGCCGCAAGGUUAAAACUCAAAUGAAUUGACGGGGGCCCGCACAAGCGGUGGAGCAUGUGGUUUAAUUCGAUGCAACGCGAAGAACCUUACCUACUCUUGACAUCCAGCGAACUUGGCAGAGAUGCCUUGGUGCCUUCGGGAACGCUGAGACAGGUGCUGCAUGGCUGUCGUCAGCUCGUGUUGUGAAAUGUUGGGUUAAGUCCCGCAACGAGCGCAACCCUUAUCCUUUGUUGCCAGCGAUUCGGUCGGGAACUCAAAGGAGACUGCCGGUGAUAAACCGGAGGAAGGUGGGGAUGACGUCAAGUCAUCAUGGCCCUUACGAGUAGGGCUACACACGUGCUACAAUGGCGCAUACAAAGAGAAGCGACCUCGCGAGAGCAAGCGGACCUCACAAAGUGCGUCGUAGUCCGGAUCGGAGUCUGCAACUCGACUCCGUGAAGUCGGAAUCGCUAGUAAUCGUGGAUCAGAAUGCCACGGGAAACU